rnacentral:rRNA from 1 species
AACGAACGCUGGCGGCAUGCCUAACACAUGCAAGUCGAACGAGACCUUCGGGUCUAGUGGCGCACGGGUGCGUAACGCGUGGGAACCUGCCUUUAGGUUCGGAAUAACUCAGAGAAAUUUGAGCUAAUACCGGAUGAUGUCUUCGGACCAAAGAUUUAUCGCCUGUAGAUGGGCCCGCGUUGGAUUAGCUAGUUGGUGGGGUAAAGGCCUAACAAGGCGACGAUCCAUAGCUGGUCUGAGAGGAUGAUCAGCCACACUGGGACUGAGACACGGCCCAGACUCCUACGGGAGGCAGCAGUGGGGAAUAUUGGACAAGGGGCGAAAGCCUGAUCCAGCAAUGCCGCGUGAGUGAUGAAGGCCUUAGGGUUGUAAAGCUCUUUUACCCGAGAUGAUAAUGACAGUAUCGGGAGAAUAAGCUCCGGCUAACUCCGUG